UUCAAUAGCAGGAACAAUAGCAUAUCUGGACUGUUGAAUUUACUCUUAUGGGAUGACAUUAUACUUGUAGGUUCAUAUUGGGUAAUUGUGUCUAGAUCAUAUUUUUUUUAUGUUUUAAUGAUAAAAAAAAAACAUUUCAGUUUCUUUGUAGAAAUACACAUUUUCUGCAGCAAAUGUAGUGCAUCUGGGUCGUUGGUGAGAAGUGUGAUAUGUGGGUCGUAUAUGAGACGUGUUAUACGGGUUUAUCAUCUGGGUCGUUGGUGAGAGGUGUGAUAUGUGGGUCGUAUAUGAGAAGUGUUAUACGGGUUUAUCAUCUGGGUCGUGGGUGAGAGGUGUGAUAUGUGGGUCGUAUAUGAGAAGUGUUAUACGGGUUUAUCAUCUGGGUCGUAUAUGAGAAGUGUUAUACGGGUUUAUCAUCUGGGUCAUUGGUGAGAGGUGUGAUAUGUGGGUCGUAUAUGAGAAGUGUUAUACGGGUUUAUCAUCUGGGUCGUUGGUGAGAGGUGUGAUAUGUGGGUCGUAUAUGAGAAGUGUUAUACGGGUUUAUCAUCUGGGUCGUUGGUGAGAGGUGUGAUAUGUGGGUCGUAUAUGAGAAGUGUGAUAUGGUUUAUCAUCUGGGUCGUUGGUGAGAGGUGUGAUAUGUGGGUCGUAUAUGAGAAGUGUUAUACGGGUUAUCAUCUGGGUCGUUGGUGAGAGGUGUGAUAUGGUUUAUCAUCUGGGUCGUGUGUGAGAGGUGUGAUAUGUGGGUCGUAUAUGAGAAGUGUUAUAUGGUUUAUCAUCUGGGUCGUUGGUGAGAGGUGUAAUAUGUGGGUCGUAUAUGAGAGGUGUGAUAUGGUUUAUCAUCUGGGUCGUUGGUGAGAGGUGUGAUAUGGUUUAUCAUCUGGGUCGUUGGUGAGAGGUGUGAUAUGUGGGUCGUAUAUGAGAAGUGUUAUACGGGUUUAUCAUCUGGGUCGUUGGUGACAGGUGUAAUAUGUGGGUCGUAUAUGAGAAGUGUUAUACGGGUU